rnacentral:rRNA from 1 species
UACGUAGGGAGCGAGCGUUGUCCGGAAUUACUGGGUGUAAAGGGAGCGUAGGCGGGAUGGCAAGUCAGAUGUGAAAACUAUGGGCUUAACCCAUAGACUGCAUUUGAAACUGCUGUUCUUGAGUGAGGUAGAGGUAAGCGGAAUUCCUGGUGUAGCGGUGAAAUGCGUAGAGAUCAGGAGGAACAUCGGUGGCGAAGGCGGCUUACUGGGCCUUUACUGACGCUGAGGCUCGAAAGCGUGGGGAGCAAACAGG